rnacentral:rRNA from 1 species
GACGAACGCUGGCGGCGUGCCUAAUACAUGCAAGUCGAGCGAAUCGAUGGGAGCUUGCUCCCUGAGAUUAGCGGCGGACGGGUGAGUAACACGUGGGUAACCUGCCUGUAAGACUGGGAUAACUUCGGGAAACCGGAGCUAAUACCGGAUACUUUCUUUUCUCGCAUGAGGGAAGAUGGAAAGAUGGUUCUGCUAUCACUUACAGAUGGACCCGCGGCGCAUUAGCUAGUUGGUGAGGUAACGGCUCACCAAGGCAACGAUGCGUAGCCGACCUGAGAGGGUGAUCGGCCACACUGGGACUGGGACACGGCCCAGACUCCUACGGGAGGCAGCAGUAGGGAAUCUUCCGCGGUGGACGAAAGUCUGACGGAGCAACGCCGCGUGGGCGAAGAAGGCCUUCGGGUCGUAAAGCUCUGUUGUUAGGGAAGAACAAGUACGAGAGUAACUGCUCGUACCUUGACGGUACCUAACCAGAAAGCCACGGCUAACUACGUGCCAGCCGCCGCCGUAACAC